rnacentral:rRNA from 1 species
CCCUUAGAUGUCCUGGGCCGCACGCGCGUUACACUGAUGCAAUCAACGAGCUUAUAACCUUGGCCGAGAGGCCUGGGCAAUCUUGUUAACGUGCAUCGUGAUAGGGAUAGAUUAUUGAAAUUAUUAAUCUUGAACGAGGAAUUCCUAGUAAACGCAGAUCAUCAAUCUGCAUUGAUUACGUCCCUGCCCUUUGUACACACCGCCCGUCGCACCUACCGAUUGGAUGGUCCGGUGAAGCCUCGGGAUUGUGGUUCUUGCCGCUUUAUUGUGGCGUGACCGCGAGAACUUGUCUAAACCUUAUCAUCUAGAGGAAGGUGAGGUCGUAACA